CCCGACGGAGGUACCGGAGAUCUACCGGCUACAAAGCCGGGCAGGUGGAGGCUCGUUAGCCGUGGUAGGGAAUUCACCAAGAAGAGCAAGCUCCGAACAACAAACCCGGGCAGGUGGGGCUCGUUAGCCGUGGUAGGCAGUCUGCCUAGGAGAGCAAACUCCGAAUAAUAAACCCGGGCAGGUGGGGCUCGUCAGCCGUGGUAGGCAGUCUGCCUAGGAGAGCAAACUCCGAAUAAUAAACCCGGGCAGGUGGAGGUCGUUAGCCGUGGUAGGCAGUCUGCCUAGGAGAGCAAACUCCGAAUAAUAAACCCGGGCAGGUGGGGCUCGUUAGCCGUGGUAGGCAGUCUGCCUAGGAGAGCAAACUCCUAAUAAUAAACCCGGGCAGGUGGGGCUCGUUAGCCGUGGUAGGCAGUCUGCCUAGGAGAGCAAACUCCAAAUAAUAAACCCGGGCAGGUGGAGGUCGUUAGCCGUGGUAGGCAAUUCACCUAGGAGAGCAAACUCCGAAUAAUAAACCCGGGCAGGUGGAGGUCGUCAGCCGUGGUAGGCAAUUCACCUAGGAGAGCAAACUCCGAAUAAUAAACCCGGGCAGGUGGAGGUCGUCAGCCGUGGUAGGCAAUUCACCUAGGAGAGCAAACUCCGAAUAAUAAACCCGGGCAGGUGGAGGUCGUCAGCCGUGGUAGGCAAUUCACCUAGGAGAGCAAACUCCGAAUAAUAAACCCGGGCAGGUGGAGGUCGUCAGCCGUGGUAGGCAAUUCACCUAGGAGAGCAAACUCCGAAUAAUAAACCCGGGCAGGUGGAGCCCGUCAGCCGUGGUAGGCAGUCUGCCUAGGAGAGCAAACUCCGAAUAAUAAACCCGGGCAGGUGGAGCCCGUCAGCCGUGGUAGGCAGUCUGCCUAGGAGAGCAAACUCCGAAUAAUAAACCCGGGCAGGUGGAGCUCGUCAGCCGUGGUAGGCAGUCUGCCUAGGAGAGCAAACUCCGAAUAAUAAACCCGGGCUUCAAGGUGCUCGUUAGAUGUCGUAGACAACCCAUGUGAGGGAACACCAAAGGAAAGGAAAAUAUAAAAGAACACCAGAAAAAGGAAAAUAUAGAAACGAUACAUCAAGAAAAGAAAAAACAUACAGAUCAUCCACCUUUAGGCCCUAACAUCGCCAAAAUUAUGGGUGAGUCUUUUCUGGGGAGAAAGAGGCUCAUCUAUAAAAAGAGAAAUAUAGAAA